GUCCAAGUAAUAUAAGAAGGUUAAAGGACACCAACUUAUAAAUAUCAAUCUACGAUUAAAAUGGACAUAGUCAAGAACCAACUUAUUAAAAAAAAUAUCAAUCCUUUCUGGUAAUACGAUUAAAACGAACAUAGAUAAGUCACGAUUUUUGUUUAUCACAUAUAAGCUAAGACCAUCAGGCAAAGUCAACUAUAAAAUGCUAUUAGAUAUUAGAUAAGAGGAAGACAAAGAAUCAAAUUAAUUAGAUAUUUCUAAUAGCACAUAAAAUGCUAAACAAAAGUCAAAAAUAGGAGAAAAAGAAUAAAUACUUUUUUGGUGCAUGAGGCAUGCCAUAUCAUCAUAUCUAUAAAUCUCUUUUAUAUAGAGAGAGAUAUUUGCCUCUCUCUGUAAUCACUUUGCUGUCGUGGCAUGUUGAUCCGAGAAAUGAAGUUACAUGUUAGCGGUGUUUAGUUCGGAUUCAAAAAGGAUAUGGUUGCUUUGUGUCUGAUUUCAAUUUCAGUUCUGUGUUUGAUGAUAUGUCCAGACUUAUUCAAUUUGAAGUGACCAAGUUCGAAAAUUCAACUAGAUAAGCCGAUGCAACUGGUGAUAAUUUAGGUGCACUUUAUGUGUUUCACAUUUCAUCCUUCAUGGGAUUUGUUGGCACCAUGGAAGAAGUGGUGAAACCUGAAGCUGAUGAUGGAUAAAGCUUACAAAGAGCAUGGUGAACAGAGUGAAUAUUAUGGAAAAAAUGCACAGGUUAGGAUUUCGGGAGAGAGGUGGGGACAAGAAUAAAUGCCACGUACAGAUGGGUGCAACAAUGAAUGCCACAUAUGGAGAGGAGAUAUUAUUGAUUCUUGAUGCAUCUGAUUAUACCUACAUUAGCGUAGUUGAGAGUUGAGAUUGGUUUUGCUAUCUGCAUAAUUCCUUUAUAUGUGUAAAUGGAAGUUGAGAGUUUUUAAUGUUAAGGGUGUUUGUUAUCGGCCCUAUUAGAAGCUAAUCAACUGAUGAGAAAGUAGAUUUACUAGAGGUAUGCUAUAGCACGAUUGGUUUCCUGUUCAUGUUUUAAAAAGGAGAUCAUGUUUGUUUGGAUGAGCCACUGUUAUCUUUAUUUUUCAACUUAGUGAUCAAGAUUUCUGAA